AAGGGAGACCUAAUUCGGGUAUAGGACGAAAAAAGAGUAGUCGAAACCAAGAAUCAAUCCCAAAAGGUCGGAACGAGGUAUGUGGCUUUCAAACUAGGUUCUGGGUUCACACAAGACCUGAAUCAGGGACAAGGGCUAUUAGCUCAGGUGGUUAGAGCGCACCCCUGAUAAGGGUGAGGUCCCUGGUUCGAGUCCAGGAUGGCCCACCUGCACAGGUGGCAAAAACAAAGAAGCGAGGAAUCAGCACCUUAUCUUAUCUAUAUAUAAGAGAGAAUGCUGGCUCUGAGUAAAGAGUCCAGAGGAACCUUGAAAACUGCAUAGAGCUAGGUGAAAAAGCCAAAAAAGAAGACCGCAA
rnacentral:tRNA from 1 species